AGUGGCGGUGGACGUGUGCGGCCGAGAGGGGACGCGAGGCGGGUCUGGCCACAGGCAGCGCUAGCGAGAGCGUCUCCAGCCGGCCCCCGCACCCACACUCCACACCCUCCAGACCCCAGACCGGGAGCCACACAAGGCUGCCAAAUUUGGGAGGUGGGGAAAAGAGAGGGAGGAGAAAGAGGGGGUGUCUCCUGCGCCCCGAUCCUCCCUCUGCUCUUUAACCCAGCGACAGAAAUGAACGGUCGGCGACGUGUGGCUCUGUCUACUUUUGAGAUUCCCUGGGGGCAGUAACUCCGUGUCCCCUAUCCGCGGCCAGCUUGGGAGGAGGAGACAAAUCCGGUUAUCCGCGUUGGGGCACUUGCUGGUAACUGCAGCUUUCUGCAAGCCUGGUCCAAGGUUGGGGAGAGACUAAAAGGGAAUUAGGAACUGACUGACACCCCCUGGAAGGAAGAAGGGGGGACGAGGAACGUGGCGCUUUUUACUUUGGGAUGGGACAGUCGGGGGUUUUCAGUCUUAGAUAUGACUGGGUCUAAAAUAAAUUUUGUGAUUGUAGGAUACGGCCAGUCAGUAACUAAUGUUAUGGAAAUAGGUCUCUUUCAGCUCUUUUGCAGUUCUUCUCCGUGAAGAAUCCAGAAACCAUUUGGCAGUGCUCUAUUUUGUGAAGCAAACUUUGGCCAGUUUGGUGAAGGACUCUGAGCCGAUGAAACGGGCCUAGCUGCAACUGAACUCUGGAGUCCAGAAGCUCCCCACCAAUCACAGGCUACCCUCUUGAUGGCGACACUGCUUUCUUCUGUGCUCAGGGAUCCCGUCACACAUCACGAAUGAGAAGCUGAGUAUUUCAACUUUCAAUCACUUGGAAUAAGCCUUUCCUUCCUGGAUAAAAGAUUAGCUGACAUGUAUGGGCUGUUAAAAUUUAUAUAUGCAAAAGAGUUGACAGUUACGUUCCUUGCAUUUCUUGGAGAGAGAGGAGAGCCUGAAACCGACGGCAGUAUAUAGCAGAAUUUCCUUGGGAGCCUGGCACUUUCUGCAAUGCUCACAGAACAAAGGAGACAGAAAAUUAAACCCCGAGUGCCUAGACAACAACUUCCCUUCAUUUCAAAAUAGCUUCAAGACAGUGAACCAGAGCCAUGUGGGGAAAUAUGAAAAUGUAGUCCUGGUCUUGGGCAUGGGACAAGCUGCCUCCUGCUCCUAUAGACAAGACAGUGUGGUCCAUACCCAUGGUCACAAGAGCCCUUGGGCUAACCCAAAAAGCAAGGUAUGGACUGGAUAUCCUUGUUACUAAUGUAAUUUGUCAGGACCCCACAGCCUCGUGUUUUAACACUUGGUCUCCAGGUAGUGAUGCUAUUUUGAAAGGCUUUUGAACCUGUAAGAGGUGAGGUCUAGCUGGAGGAAGCAGAUCACUAAGGGCGAGCCUUUGAAGGCUACUAUGGGGACCUACUUCCUGUUUUGUUUCUCUGCUUCCAAUCAGCUGACCGGAGACAUUUAUUAACUUUAUAGGGAUUAGUUUUUGAAAUGACAAUGGGUUAU